AGAGCAAAAUAACUUCAGGCUGGUGAAAAGGUUUUUUAAACUUCGAGGCUGAAAUCCGGUGUAUCCUGGAGGUGGCAGCAAAGUACACGCAAGGGAAGGAGGGAGGCCAGGAAUGCAGAAAGGAGUGAGAGAUGAAUGCUGCUCUGCCGUGCUGCUGACGGCUUUGAGAAACUGCAUCAGUCUCUGCUAGCUUCAAAUGACAGAGCAGGAAAAACUCAAGGUUAGAUGGGGAAAAAUACUGAUAAUGCUGAAGAGAUGCCUUCAAGCAAUACCAAGGAUUUGUCCCCUCAUUUAUAGAGUAAGUAUUUCAGAAUAAGAGUCAGAUUGAACCUU
rnacentral:lncRNA from 1 species